AAGAAGCGCCGGCUAACUACGUGCCAGCAGCCGCGGUAAUACGUAGGGCGCAAGCGUUGUCCGGAAUUAUUGGGCGUAAAGAGCUCGUAGGCGGCCAGUUGCGUCCGCUGUGAAAUCGGGGCUUAACCCCGGGCCUACAGUGGAUACGGGCUGGCUAGAGGCAGGCAGGGGAGAACGGAAUUCCUGGUGUAGCGGUGAAAUGCGCAGAUAUCAGGAGGAACACCGGUGGCGAAGGCGGUUCUCUGGGCCUGAUCUGACGCUGAGGAGCGAAAGCGUGGGGAGCGAACAGGAUUAGAUACCCUGGUAGUCCACGCUGUAAACGUUGGGCGCUAGGUGUGGGGUCCUUCCACGGACUCUGUGCCGCAGCUAACGCAUUAAGCGCCCCGCCUGGGGAGUACGGCCGCAAGGCUAAAACUC
rnacentral:rRNA from 1 species